CUCUUCGGAGGGCCGGCCAGGUGUGUGGAUGGGUAGGGGAGCGUCGCGUGGUGGGUGAAGCGGCGGAGGAAUCCAGCCGUGGACGCCACGCGAGUGAGAAUGCAGGCAUGAGUAGCGAGAGGGGAGUGAGAACCUCCCCCGCCGGAAGACCAAGGGUUCCUGGGCCAGGCUAAUCCGCCCAGGGUGAGUCGGGACCUAAGGCGAGGCCGACAGGCGUAGUCGAUGGACAACGGGUUGAUAUUCCCGUACCCGCGAAGGAGCGCCCAUGCCGAACCCAGCGAUGCUAACCACCCGACGCCGGUGAGUUCCCUUGUGGAGCGAGCCGGCCGAGGCUGGGAUCCGGACUGGUAGUAGGCAAGCGAUGGGGUGACGCAGGAAGGUAGUCCUACCGGUGAGUGGUAGUACCGGUGCAAGGGUGUGGCCCGUCCGGCAGGUAAAUCCGUCGGACAUACAGGGUGAGGCCUGACGCAUAGCCGAGUGAGGCGAAUGGGAUGAUCCUAUGCUGCCGAGAAAAGCCUCUAGCGAGUUCCGAGCGGCCCGUACCCCAAACCAACUCAGGUGGUCAGGUAGAGAAUACCGAGGCGAUCGAGCGAACUGUGGUUAAGGAACUCGGCAAAAUGCCCCCGUAACUUCGGGAGAAGGGGGGCCCUCGUCCGUGAACCGUCUUGCACGGGGCAGCGGGAGGGGGCCGCAGAGACCAGUGAGAAGCGACUGUUUACUAAAAACACAGGUCCGUGCGAAGUCGUAAGACGAUGUAUACGGACUGACGCCUGCCCGGUGCUGGAACGUUAAGGGGACGGGUUAGCUCUUCGGGGCGAAGCUCAGAACUCAAGCGCCAGUAAACGGCGGUGGUAACUAUAACCAUCCUAAGGUAGCGAAAUUCCUUGUCGGGUAAGUUCCGACCUGCACGAAUGGCGUAACGACUUCUCAGCUGUCUCAACCACAGGCUCGGCGAAAUUGCACUACGAGUAAAGAUGCUCGUUACGCGCGGCAGGACGGAAAGACCCCGGGACCUUCACUAUAGCUUGAUAUUGGUGUUCGGUUCGGCUUGUGUAGGAUAGGUGGGAGACCGUGAAGCGGGCACGCCAGUGUUCGUGGAGUCGCCGUUGAAAUACCACUCUGGUCGAAUUGGAUGUCUAACCUCGGUCCGUGAUCCGGAUCAGGAACAGUGUCAGGUGGGUAGUUUAACUGGGGCGGUUGCCUCCCAAAAUGUAACGGAGGCGCCCAAAGGUUCCCUCAGCCUGGUUGGCAAUCAGGUGUCGAGUGCAAGUGCACAAGGGAGCUUGACUGUGAGACCGACGGGUCGAGCAGGAGCGAAAGCUGGGACUAGUGACCCGGCACCGGCAUGUGGAAGCGGUGUCGCUCAACGGAUAAAAGGUACCCCGGGGAUAACAGGCUGAUCUUCCCCAAGAGUCCAUAUCGACGGGAUGGUUUGGCACCUCGAUGUCGGCUCGUCGCAUCCUGGGGCUGGAGUAGGUCCCAAGGGUUGGGCUGUUCGCCCAUUAAAGCGGUACGCGAGCUGGGUUUAGAACGUCGUGAGACAGUUCGGUCCCUAUCCGCCGCGCGCGUAAGAGACUUGAGAAGAGCUGUCCCUAGUACGAGAGGACCGGGACGGACGAACCUCUGGUGUGCCAGUUGUACCGCCAGGUGCACUGCUGGUUGGCUACGUUCGGCAGGGAUAACCGCUGAAAGCAUCUAAGCGGGAAGCUCGCUUCAAGAUGAGGUCUCUCACCGGAACAACCGGGUAAGGCCCCCGCCCAGACCAGCGGGUUGAUAGGCCGGAAGUGGAAGCACCGCAAGGUGUGGAGCUGACCGGUACUAAUAGGCCGAGGACUUGACCAC
rnacentral:rRNA from 1 species